ACCCGGUCACCCCCACACCAGAGAAGCAGUGCAGUGCAGCUAGCCUACCAGCUACCACUACCAGUACCAAUCUCGACUCAACGGUAGCUCACCAUGGCGACGUCUCCUUCCCCUAAGAAGAAGCAGGUGCUUCUGCCGAUAGUCGCCGGCACGGAGCCGAUCGAGGCGUCCAUCCCCAUCGACAUCCUCCGCCGCGCCGGCGCCGACGUCACCGUCGCUUCCGCAGGCGACGCCCUUCUGGUCGAGAUCAUGUACGGCGUCAAAAUAAUGGCCGACGAGCUCCUGGCUGACUGCGCCGCCGCUUCCUACGACCUCAUCGUCCUCCCCGGUGGUGUUCCUGGCGCUGUGAAUCUCGGUGGCUCUGCGACGUUGGAGAGCAUAGUGAGGAAGCACGCAGAGAAGGGAGGACUCUACGCUGCCAUAUGCGCUGCACCGCCGCUGGCGUUGGCGUCCUGGGGCCUACUCAAUGGACAUAAGGCUACGGGUCAUCCAUGGUUCGUCGAGAAGUUCCCUCCCGAGGUUACCGCCGUGGACGCGAACGUGGUGGUGGACAGCAACGCCGUGACGGGCACUGGGCCGGCGACGUCGAUGGAGUUUGCGCUGGCUUUGGUGGAACAGCUCUACGGGAAGGAGAAGGUCGAGCAGAUCGCUAAACCAAUGCUAGUGAGAUACGAAUGUGGCUAUAGCAUGAAAGAAGUCAACUCGGUCGAGUGGCACUGCAGCGGCACACCCAAGGUUCUUCUUCCACUAGCCAACGGCAUUGAGGAGAUGGAGGCGAUAAUACUCGUGGACGCGCUGCGCAGAGCCAAAGCAGACGUCGUGGUCGCGUCCAUCGAGGGCGGCGUCGAGAUCACCGCGCGAUACGGGACAAGGAUCGUGGCCGACGUGAUGCUGGGCGAGGCCGCCGAUCGGGCGCCCUUCGAUCUGAUCAUCGUGCCGGGCGGCAUGCCGGGCGCGAAGACGCUGGGCGGCUGUGAGCAGCUCGUCGCUCUGCUGAAGAAGCAGGCGGAAGCGAACAGGCCAUACGGCGCGAUCGGCGCCGCCACCGCCCACGUGCUCGAGCCCCAUGGCCUGCUCAAGGGUAGGAAGGCGACGACGUGCGCAUCCAUGGCCGGGCUGCUCACGGACGGUAGCGAGUGCGAGAACAGGGUGGUGGUCGACGGGAACGUGAUCACGAGCAGGAGCCCCGGCACCGCCAUGGAGUACGCGGUGGCCGUCGUCGAGAAGAUGCUGGGCCGCGACGAGGCGCGGCGACUGGCGGAAGGCCUGCUCUUCUUGGGCUGACCCCCCGUGUGCUGGAGCUUGAGAAGCUGUUGUUGAGCUGGCUCGUCGGAUCAUCCGACAAUAACAGCCGACAACAGUGGUGAUCAUCAUCAAUAAAAGUCCCGUUCAUUCGUACUGUUCCCUGUCGCUUUUACAUUUAACAUGUCAUCACUACUGUAGGCUCCACCUGAGAGCGACUCCGGACAUGGAGGAGACUACGCCACACCGGUAUUGUAGGGAGAAUAUCACCGGGUUUAGCCUGCUCCCAUGAUACGGGUUCCGACAGCCGUUGGAUCUCGGAAGCCGUUGGAUCUGGUGCAUCAAAUUACUCAUAAUUGUUCAUAUCAAGUUGGGUCAUUCAACAUCGUGCACCGAACAUUCGUCGAUUGGUCCGGACGUCUGAAAGCCCACAAAUCAAAAGCUAACUCGGAAGUUUCUAACAGUCCGGACCUCCUCCACAGCGGAGUUGGUCAUUGCCGCAUGCUGGCCAAAUGGCACAACAUUCACAAGGUGCCGCGGUUGAGAAAGAUGCUUCGGCUCGCCGCUGCUGCCGCGUUAAUGUUUGUUCAGAGCGGACGUGACCGGGAGGGCCAACGGGACAACUUCCUGCAAAAUUCUAGUGGCGUCUGCCCGCCUGCUUGGCAUUCACGCCGGUUCGACGAACGAGAGGCCAACUCUGGCUGAACGCAUUCAAUCUGGCCGUCUGUCUUCAAAUAGUAUUUGAUAGCGCGGUUGAUGUACUCUGAUAACGCGGAGAUGGGGUUCGACGAACGAGAAGCCAACUCUGGCUGGACGCAUUCAAUCUUCAACGAGAGGGGGAGAGUGUGUCCACGUAUCCUCGUAGACCGAAAGCGGAAGCAUUUGAUAACGCGGUUGAUGUACUGGAACUUCUUCUCAUUCUGACCGAUGAAGCACCGAACGUACGACACCUCCGAGUUCUGCACACAUUCAGCUCGAUGACAUCCCUCGAACUCUUGAUGCAGCAAAGUGUCGAGGGAGAGUUCCGUCAGCACGACGGCGUGGUGACGGUGAUGGUGAAGGGAUCCGUGCAAGGUUUCGCCUAAGCACUGCGAAGAUAUGACCGAAGGCGUAAACUAUGAAGAGGGCGCCGCACACGGCUAACAAUUUUUGGUCUAUGUUCUAGCGAUGCCCCCCACCCACAUAUAUAUGGGUUUGAGGGGAGGAGAGGCAGCCAAGGGGGCGCCCCAAGUAGGAGGAAUCCUACUUGGGCGCCUCCCAAUUCGGCCUCCCCCCUCUUCCAUAUUCAUCCGGAGGGGGGAGGAAGGAGGAGGGAGGAGAGAAGGAAGAGGAAGGCCGAAUUGCUCCCCUUCCUGUCUCUCUUCCUCUCUUUCCUUCCCCCUUAUUUCGGCCUACAUGGGGCGCACUGUCCCCUUCUUGGCCCAUUAGGCCCAUGUAGUUGCCGGGGGAUGUCCGAAACCCCUUCUAGUGACCUGAUAUGUACCCGGUACCCCCAGAACACUUCCGGUGUCCGAAUACAUCUUGUUACCAGCAAGUCUCUUACUCGUUCCGUAAUACAUCAUCCCAUGAUUAACUCAUUAGUCAUUUGCUUGCAAGGCUUAUUAUGAUGUGCACUACCGAGAGGGCCCAGAGAUACCUCUCCGAUACUCGGAGUGACAAACCCUAAUCUCGAUUCAUGCGAACCCAACAAAACACCUUCGGAGAUACCUGUAGAGCAUCUUUAUAAUCACCCAGUUACAUUGUGGCGUUUGAUAGCACACAAGGUACUCCUCCGAUAUUCGGGAGUUGCAUGAUCUCAUAGUCAAAGGAAUAUGUAUGUGGCAUACAUGAAAGUAGUAGCAAUAAACUGUACGAUCAAAUGCUAAGCGAACGUAUGGGUCUUGUCCAUCACAUUAUUCUCCUAAUGAUGUGAUCCCGUUAUCAAAUGACAACUCAUGUCCAUGGUGAGGAAACCUUAACCAUGUUUGAUCAACGAGCUAGUCAAGUAUGGGCUCACUAGGGACUCAGUGUUUUGUCUAUGUAUUCACACAUGUAUUAAGGUUUCCGGUCAAUACAAUUCUAGCAUGAAUAAUAAACAUUUAUCAUGAUAUAAUGAAAUAUAGAAUAACAACUUUAUUACUUCCUCUAGGGCAUAUUUCCUUCAGUCUCCCACUUGCACUAGAGUCAAUAAUCUUGUUCACAUCACCAUGUGAUUUAACACCCAUAGUUCACAUCUCUAUGUGACC
rnacentral:rRNA from 1 species